GGAGGGGGCUCGGAGGGGCGGGGCGGGAAGGGGGACGGUGGAGAUUGGAGCCACGCCCAGCCCGGGACGGAGAGGGAGCAAGGCCUCGAGACCGAAAGAAGACAGAGCGAGGAGGAGCCAUACAGGUUUCCCCAGAAUGGGCUCUGGAAUCGAGGCCCCGGCUACAAGUACCAAGCCAAAGAUCACACGAGUCUCCAGGCGCAGGGGAGAUCUUGAGAUCCUGUUUGGGGUCGUUGUGAAAAAGGUAAACUCACCUUUCAACUUGCCCUUAGGUUUCACAGCGAGGAUGCCUGAGGAGCUUGUGCAGAUGUCUGCCUUAGCUCCCUCAUGGUGACAGAGUGGCCCUGGGAUGCCUUUCUGGAGGCUACAGGGUGGAGGAGGGAACUUCAUGGAGGCAUCUGGGUUGGAGCACAAGGCUGGAGGAGUUGCAAUGGAAGUGUUCUGUGAAG
rnacentral:lncRNA from 1 species